rnacentral:tRNA from 1 species
AAGGGUGUGGCUUAGAGGUUGAGCACAGGCUUAACAAGCAUGAGGCUGUGAAUUUAAUCCCCACCAUUCUCC